rnacentral:rRNA from 1 species
CUACGGGGGGCAGCAGUUAGGUAUAAUCUACAAUGCGCGCAAGCGUGAUAGUUUGAGCCAGAGUGUUUUUCAUUGAAAGACUUUUAUGGAAUGUAAAAAGUUCCACGAAUAAGGACUGGGUAAGACUAGUGCCAGCCGCCGCGGUAAUACUAGCGGUCCAAGUCGCAGCCAUUUUUAUUGGGUCUAAAACAUCCGUAGCUUGCUUGAUAAGUCUUCUGUGAAAUUUUAUAUCUCAAAUAUGAAGCGUGCAGAAGGUACUGUCAAGCUAGAGACUGGUAGACGUAAAGAGUAUGUUCAGAGUAGCGGUAAAAUGUGUUAAUCCUGGACAGACUAACAAGAGCGAAGGCACUUUACGAGAACAGUUCUGACAGUAAGGGAUGAAGGCUAGGGGCGCAAAACGGAUUAGAUACCCUGGUAGUC